GUGCUCGCUUCAGCAGCACAUAUACUAAAAUUGGAACGAUACAGUGAAGAUUAGCAUGGCCCCUGUGCAA
ensembl:snRNA U6 U6 spliceosomal RNA